CCCAAAGUUAACUUUACAGUACUAAAAGUGUGGUUCUGUAUCUCAAAACUUAUGAAUAUCUAUAUAACAUUUUUACUGAUGUAGGAUAGUAUUUCCAAGAGCAGUUGCGAAGAUUCCAAAGAAAAUUAUUAUAUAGGACAAAAGGAGAAGAAAAACACAAAUCAAAGAUCCCUACCAAUCAAACUAUAUCCUUAAGAAUUCAAUCUUAUGCCACCUUGCACACCUAAAAAUGAAAAGAGAAAACAAAACAAACAAAAAAAUGUGAAAGCAAGUUCCAAACUCAAGCACAGGUAGGUUGAUUUAAUGGACGCGCCAAUGAAUGGUAAAUAUCGAUUCUUAAUGCAGAUACUACAAAUUUCGCGGUAUGGUUGUGGAAGGUGUUUGAUCUGUGGGAUGAUUUUUGAUUUUGGGAUUAUGAAAUUUGGAGAUUUUCAUGUGGUUUGAACGCCAUCUAUCUCAAUUUGGGUUUUCAUGGGUGUGAAUUGGGGAUUUUCCAUUUUUCCUCAUUUA
rnacentral:lncRNA from 1 species